UACGUAGGGGGCAAGCGUUGUCCGGAAUCAUUGGGCGUAAAGCGCGUGUAGGCGGCUUCGUAAGUCCGUUGUGAAAGUCCAGGGCUCAACCCUGGAAUGCCGAUGGAUACUGCGGAGCUAGAGUCCGGAAGAGGCGAGUGGAAUUCCUGGUGUAGCGGUGAAAUGCGCAGAUAUCAGGAGGAACACCAAUGGCGAAGGCAGCUCGCUGGGACGGUACUGACGCUGGAGACGCGAAAGCGUGGGGAGCAAACAGG
rnacentral:rRNA from 1 species